rnacentral:rRNA from 1 species
CAAAACUACGGUCUCAGUUCAGAUUGCAGGCUGCAACUCGCCUGCAUGAAGUUGGAAUUGCUAGUAAUCGCGAAUCAGAAUGUCGCGGUGAAUACGUUCCCGGGUCUUGUACACACCGCCCGUCACACCAUGGGAGUCGGGAAUGCCCGAAGUCAGUGGCCCAACCGGAAGGGGGGAGCUGCCGAAGGCAGGCCCGGUGACUGGGGUGAAGUCGUAACAAGGUAGC